CAGUGCCCUGGCUCUGUCGCUGGUGUAGCAAUACACGAGAGGAAAGUCCGGGCAGCAUAGGGCUCCCCACUUGCGAAAAUACAAGUAGUCAGUGAUGAUUAGCUAAGGCAGAAGAAAAUAACCGCCCCCCAUUUUUACUUUGUCAUACGCGUUAGGGGGUAAGGGUGAGAAGGUGGUGUAAGAGACCACCAGGCAUUUGGUGACAAAUGUGCUGUGUCUGCUGGAGGCUGCAAGUUC
rnacentral:RNase_P_RNA from 1 species